rnacentral:rRNA from 1 species
GCUACGGGAGGCUGCAGUGAGGAAUAUUGGUCAAUGGCCGGAAGGCUGAACCAGCCAAGUCGCGUGAGGAGAGAAGGCCCUAUGGGUCGUAAACCUCUGUUGUCAGGGAGCAAAGGCGUCCACGAGUGGACGAAAGGAGAGGACCUGAAGAAAAAGCAUCGGCGAACUCCGUGCCAGCAGCCGCGGUAAUACGGAGGAUGCGAUCGGUAGCCGGAUUUAUUGGGUUUAAAGGGUGCGUAGGCGGAGCGGCAAGUCAGCGGUCAAAUUUCGGGGCUCAACCCCGUCGGGCCGUUGAAACGGCCACCCUUGAUUGAGUGAGAAGUCAGCGCAAUGCGUGGUGUAGCGGUGAAAUGCAUCGAUAUCACGC